GUAAGUGUUACAGAAUAAUCUUAGACAAAACAACUAAAAUUAAUGAAAAAUUAUUCUGUGACACUUUCAG
ensembl:miRNA mir-1020 miscRNA